CCUACGGGUGGCUGGAUCGCUGGUUUACCCCUUAUGCUGACCUUGACAGCGAAGCAAACCACAACUCCCCAGGGUGCAAACACAACGGUAUAUAUCGUUUCUAUUUGUUACCGUGGAAACAUGGAUGCUUUACGCCAAGAGGUAAUCAAACUCCUCACGGUUGAAAAACAGUUCCUGCUUUCUAUGGAUGCGGUUGAAGAUAUCGCCCUUAAAGCUCUUUCUGAGUCUAACGACAUUAUUGACGUUGGCGGUGAUGAAUCGGAUUUUGUUGCCGAGUUUUUCCCUGAUGCAAUGGGCCAGGAAACCAAGGGUAACGGCGGUACCCAGGGCGGUACCCAGGGCGGUACCCAGAAAGAUACCCAAGAAGAAGGCCAGGAUGAUACCCCAGUAGUC
rnacentral:rRNA from 1 species